rnacentral:rRNA from 1 species
UGAGGAAUAUUGGUCAAUGGGCGCAAGCCUGAACCAGCCAUCCCGCGUGCAGGAAGACGGCCCUAUGGGUUGUAAACUGCUUUUCCAGGGGGAGAAACUUGCGCACGUGUUGCGCAAUUGACGGUACCCUGGGAAUAAGCAUCGGCUAACUCCGUGCCAGCAGCCGCGGUAAUACGGAGGAUGCGAGCGUUAUCCGGAUUCAUUGGGUUUAAAGGGUGCGUAGGCGGACUAUUAAGUCAGUGGUGAAAUCCUGCAGCUUAACUGCAGAACUGCCAUUGAUACUGAUAGCCUUGAGUUUGGUUAAGGUAGGCGGAAUGUGUAGUGUAGCGGUGAAAUGCUUAGAUAUUACACAGAACACCAAUUGCGGAGGCAGCUUACUGAGCCGACACUGACGCUGAGGCACGAAAGCGUGGGGAUCGAACG